GACGUAGGGCGCGAGCGUUGUCCGGAUUUAUUGGGCGUAAAGAGCUCGUAGGCGGCUUGUCGCGUCGACUGUGAAAACCCGUGGCUCAACCAUGUGGUCUGCAGUCGAUACGGGCAGGCUAGAAUUCUGUAGGGGAGACUGGAAUUCCUGGUGUAGCGGUGAAAUGCGCAGAUAUCAGGAGGAACACCGGUGGCGAAGGCGGGUCUCUGGGCCGAUAUUGACGCUGAGGAGCGAAAGCGUGGGGAGCGAACAGG
rnacentral:rRNA from 1 species